GGCCUACCAUGGUGGUAACGGGUAACGGGGUGUUAGGGCACCACACCGGAGAGGGAGCCUGAGAAACGGCUACCACAUCCAAGGAUGGCAGCAGGCGCGCAAAUUACCCAAUCCCGACACGGGGAGGUAGUGACAAUAAAUAACAAUACGGGGUUCUUUAGGAUCUCGUAAUUGGAAUGAGUACAAUUUAAAUCUCUUAACGAGGAACAAUUGGAGGGCAAGUCUGGUGCCAGCAGCCGCGGUAAUUCCAGCUCCAAUAGCGUAUAUUAAAGUUGUUGCAGUUAAAAGGCUCGUAGUUGAAUUUCGGGGUUAGUAAGUUGGUCAUGCCUUUGGUAUGCACUGGCUUUACUGAUUCCUCCUUCUUGACGAACCAUGAUGUCAUUAAUUUGGUGUUGCGGGAAAUCAGGACUGUUACUUUGAAAAAAUUAGAGUGUUUAAAGCAGGCUAACGCUUGAAUACAUUAGCAUGGAAUAAUGAAAUAGGACGUUAAUCCUAUUUUGUUGGUUUCUAGGAUCGACGUAAUGAUUAAUAGGGAUAGUUGGGGGCAUUAGUAUUCAAUUGUCAGAGGUGAAAUUCUUGGAUUUAUUGAAGACUAACUACUGCGAAAGCAUUUGCCAAGGAUGUUUUCAUUAAUCAAGAACGAAAGUUAGGGGAUCGAAGACGAUCAGAUACCGUCGUAGUCUUAACCAUAAACUAUGCCGACUAGGGAUCGGAUGAUGUUAAUUUUAUAAUGACUCAUUCGGCGCCUUACG
rnacentral:rRNA from 1 species